GACGAACGCUGGCGGCGUGCUUAACACAUGCAAGUCGAACGGAAAGGCCCUUCCUUUGUGGGGUGCUCGAGUGGCGAACGGGUGAGUAACACGUGAGUAACCUGCCCUUGACUUUGGGAUAACUUCAGGAAACUGGGGCUAAUACCGGAUAGGAGCUCCUGCUGCAUGGUGUGGGUUGGAAAUUUUCGGCGGUUGGGGAUGGACUCGCGGCUUAUCAGCUUGUUGGUGGGGUAGUGGCUUACCAAGGCUUUGACGGGUAGCCGGCCUGAGAGGGUGACCGGCCACAUUGGGACUGAGAUACGGCCCAGACUCCUACGGGAGGCAGCAGUGGGGAAUAUUGCACAAUGGGCGGAAGCCUGAUGCAGCAACGCCGCGUGCGGGAUGACGGCCUUCGGGUUGUAAACCGCUUUCGCCUGUGACGAAGCGUGAGUGACGGUAAUGGGUAAAGAAGCACCGGCUAACUACGUG
rnacentral:rRNA from 1 species